GAGACUGCAAUGACAACAUCUUUUUUAAACCGACACUGGUUUUGGGUAGCAUUCUCUGUAUUACUGUAAUGAUCCCACUCAUACUAUUCUUAAUCAGGAUUAAACAGAAAAGUUCACAAAAACAAGACGCUGAUGGCCAAGCUAAUUUUCAACAUGAAGAGGAAAAAGAUCCAGGGAUGCUGACCUACUCUACCGUCAAAUUCUACAAAAAGACGAACAAACGAGCAGUAAAACAGGAGGAGGAUGUUGUCUAUGCAACAACAAGAUAAUAUCAAUGAUUACACGGUAUAACAUAUAAAUGGUAUCAUUUUUGGGAAUUCAUAACUGA